CGGCCACAGUCCGCCGCCGCGGGCGCGUCCUUUGCCUGACCGGAAGUGAGGAAUAAAUAUAUAUAGCUGGAUGCAUGGCCGGCGUCGGCCGGCCGGCCAGCUGAGAGGCAUGUAUGUAUAUAUGCAUGUGCCCUUCUUCUCCACCGUGCACGCCUCGCCACUGCGCGCAGGCUGCGAGCAGCUCGCCGAUCGAGCAAGCUGCAUGCUGCACCUGCAUGAGGAUUUCCCCAGUUAAUUAGCAGGCUAGCUAGCUUCGUCAGGGUUUGCCACUGAUGACCUCCACAUUUUUGUUUGGAAGAAGACGAGCAUGCAGGUAUGUUGGUCAUAUACGGCUUCAUGAGCAUGCCAUUCUCAUCGAUCUGGAGCCCCGUUGCUUACUAUUUCGAAAGAUUGAUGAUUCUAUAUAUGCCAUUGUUAAUUAAGGUCUACUAGAUGCUUUAGUAGAAUUAGCUCGACAACCUCGAUCAUUUUGCACUAGUAUUGAUCUCUUGCCUUUCAUUACAUGCAUGGAUUAAUUGGAGUUUGGAUCUAAAAUUAGUUUUCGAUACAAAUUAAUUAAGUGCAACGGUAGAUUUGUUUUGUCUUCGAUGAUUAGUUGAGCGGAGAAGCACACAAUAAGGAGGAAACUUUUGUUCGAAUCCUACUGUUGUGCUCCUACUUUUGGGACAAAACAUUUGCAGGGCAAACAAAAUAUAACAAAGAGUAAGCUUAAUAUAAGCUCGGUGUUAAUUAGAGGUAUAGAAAACCAAAACUGCUUUAGUAACACAAACUUUCAAUUUGGAAAAGUAUAAGAACUCCGCAUACAUAUACUUAUUUCUCUCUGGCCACGCUUGCAUAAUUAGCCUAAUAUUCCUAAUUUGUUUGGGGUUCUUUUGGCUAGCUUGUUCUGUCACCGGCCAGAUGGUACUAGCGCUGCUGAAAUGCUUUCUUGCUGAGAUAGAAAUGAUAAUUAAGUUUCUUGGACACACACGGCCCUUUUAACCGUACGCAUGCAAUAAUGUCUAAACUAGCUACAAGUACUAAAUCUUCCUAUAUUGCUUUGUCUUUCGAUCUCUGGUGAAGAGCAGCCAUUAAUUAAGAACAUGUCAGGCACUGAAGAUAUGCAUGCAUGUAUGCAUAUGCAUAAUACUCUCUCCGUUUCUAAUGUAUAUUAGAAUUCAUCUAAUGAUUAAUUUAUAUUAUCACUCUCGUCUUUUCGUUUUCCUUAUAUUUAUAAGUUAAAAUUUAAAUUUUUAACCUUAAAUUUGCAUUGAUUUUAAUGUUUUUUCAUCGUAGUUAUUUUUUUAAAUUUUCUUUUAGAUCAUUAAGAAUAUAUAUAUGUGUGUGUGUUUUAUUCACAAAUUAUUUUUCGUUUAUAAAUAUAUCGCUUGACAUUUUCAUUAGGCCUAUUUUUAUAUAUAUCUAGAUUCAUUAGCACUCAUAUAAAUUAGACAAUGUUAGAAAGUUUUAUAUUAUGAAACGGAAGUACUCCAUCCCACUAUUUUUGUUUGAUGUUGGUUAAUUUAAUUUUAAACUAACGGGGCAUUUAACUUUUUGCCACUUUUAAAAAUAGCACAUAGCAUAUUUGCCACCCGCUGUCUAUGACACGUGGGCCCUCAUAUGUCUAUGACAUGUGGGCCCAGUGGCAAAUAUGUUAGUGUCAUUUCUAAGAGGGGCAAAAAGUUAAUUAUUCCGGUACUGAGUACUAUACAGUAUAAGUGAUCAAAACUUAACAUGUUUUUAAUUUUUUUUCUAUUUUUAUUUAAACUAUUUCAUUCUAGAUUUAGGCCAUGUUUAGUUUGCAAUUUUUUUUGCAAAAACAUCACAUCAAGUUUUUGAACACACAUUUGAAGUAUUAAACAUAGUCUAAUUACAAAACAAAUUUCAGAAUCCACGUGUAAACCGCGAGACGAAUCUUUUGAGUCUAAUUAAUCCAUCAUUAGCACGUGUUGGUUACUAUAGCACUUAUGGCUACUCACGUCCUAAUUAGGCUUAAAAGAUUCGUCUCACAAUUUCCCGCAUAACCGUGUAAUUAGUUUUAAUGUUCAUAUAUAUUUAAUGUUUUAUUUAGGUGUCCAAAGAUUCGAUGUGAUGUUUUUACGAACUAAACGGGGCCUUAGCAAGUGUGUAUGUAAUUUUGUGACCAUAUAUUUUGUGAUGGCAUGAGAAUUUAUUCUACCAGUCUCUACUACCAUGCUUUUCAAUUAAAUUUUUACCUUUAAAAAUCCUACUAUAUAUAAUACCAAUUGUAGUAUAAAUAUAUUUAUAAAAUUAACUACAAAUGUGUUUCAUUAUGUCAAAAACAAUAAACGGCAUAUAUUUAACAUGGGUGGCGUGGCGUAUAUUAGUAAAGGAGAAAAUAUGGUGAAGUUAAAUUAACAAACGCAUAUAAAAUAAAAUGUUAAUUAGAACGUACAUAUAUACACAUGUUUGCCCAAUUUAUCUUUACUACUAUAAAAGUCUCUAGUAGUGGUUCACUGCCACCACCCACUCCCAUUGUAUUUUUACGAUUUACCCUCUUAAUUUCGUAAUAUUAAAAAUCAAUCAAAUCUAGAUGGAUAUCCACCUAAAAUCAAAUUGAUAUGGAUAUUUCCUAUAUAAAAAGGGUGUUCACAUAUUUCAUAAAAAAUAUUUUUCUAUUUAUUCUAGAAAUAACAUAACAUGUUUUUUCUUUACUACUAUAAAAGCCUCUACACCACCUACUACCAUUACAUUUUUACAAUUUACCCCCUUAACUUCAUAAUAUUAAAAAUCAGUCAAAUCUAUAUGGAUAUCCACCUAAAAUCAAAUUGAUAUGGAUAUUUUCUAUAUAAAAAAGAUGUUCACAUAUUUCAUUAAAAAUAGUUUUCUAUUUAUUCUAGGAAUAACAUAAUAUAUUUUUAUUCAUUGCAAAACAUAUGCAUUUGGCUAGUAAAUAUAUAUGGAGGGGUCAUUAUCUGCAGUACACCAGACCUAGCUCCAAUCAUAAAUUAACUUUGUUAUUUAAUAUAAUAUUUGAUCAAAAUUUUGAAAUCUUAUCAUCAAUUGUACACUAGAAUACACUUAUACACUAGCCAAAUACAUGUACUGUGCUAUGGAAAUAUAUAUGAAAUUAACAUAUAUAUACUUGUACUGUUUGAAACAAAUUAAUUGUGAGGCUUUUGAGGAUAAAAACUAUGGAUUAAGAUGUCUUUGCAUAAUGAAAUUGUUUUUCUAAAUGAAUGAACUUGUAUUUUACAGAUGCAAUAGCAUAGAACCACAAUAUUUAAGACUAUUUUGUUAUAUGAAAAGACAUCAAAUAGUAGUUGUUAAAAACAAUAUAGAAUAGAGUUUAUGGGGGUGGCACCGUUGCAGAGUUGGUCAACACUAUAUUAUCUACCUUUAUACGCCUUCCAUCCUAAAAUAAUUUUAUUUUUCACCAUCUUAUUUAUCCCAAAACAAUUUUAUCAUUCAAGCUAUCAUUCCAUUGGAUAAAGUGGAGGGCAUACUAGUCUUUUGCUUUUAUAUUGGUACGUGUGGGAUAGAUGAAAGAUAAAUUUAUUUUGGAACAGAGGUAGCAGUAGUAUAUGAAUUUAUAAAAUAUAAUGAGUUUAUGCAAUAGUACCAAUUAAGCAAUAUUCGUGUGCGUAUCAUUUUUUUCGUUUAAUGCAAACAUCUAUGAAGUUAUUGAUAGUUUAACAUUAAUUUUAAAAACCUAACCAACUCCCGCGUUAAUUAUAUACAUUUCACAAUUGUGACCCAAAGGAUCACAUACGUGUACGGAUGUAUUGGUACGCCUACCGCACGAAUGCGAACAUAAUUCCUGCUUCUUUACACGCGAAUGCUAUUUUCUUUCUUCUUUUACAUUUUGGUUCAUUAGGACAUGUUCAAGUCUACUGUGGGCUCUAUCUCAAGCCACAUCAGCAACAAGAGUCUAUUUUAAAAUAAUACGUACAAAGGUAGAGUCAGGUGUGGUCUCUUCUCAUUAAUGCAAUAAAAUAUUUUUUAUUAAGCUAGUUUCCUUUUAAUACAUUUUCAUGCAAGAAAGUUUUCUUUAAUAAAUGCUAAGAGUCGACUCUACGCCGUUGUCAUGCAUGACAACAAUUUUUCUCUCUCCUUCCCUCUCUUUGCUCCACGUCACCAAAUUUGCUUACGUGGUGAUUGAGAGAGUCAGCUAAUAGACACCUUUGUACGUGCCCUUAUAUUAUGUAUUUCAAAAGUUUGAAUACCAACGCAUUAGAAAAAUAUUCUUUCUUUUCUCAUGACCUAUGUGCAGGAGCGGAUUUAUCACCGGGGCUAAGGGAACUUCAGCCCCCCCUAUCCGAUCUGCGCCAUUAAAGCUCCUCUUAGCCUCUCCAAUAAAAUUUCUGGUAUUACUAAAGAGAAGGAAGAACUGAAAGCAGUUCUCUUUCGUCCAGUCCCUCCUAAUAUUUUUUCUAGAUCCACUACUGUCUAUGUACGUAUUCAAAUGGUCAAAUAUAUUAAGCCAGCAUGUGUACUUCUAAUUUAUGGUCAACUUUCUAUAUAUAAAUUUUUAUAUACAAACUUUUA
rnacentral:lncRNA from 1 species